rnacentral:rRNA from 1 species
UACGUAGGGGGCUAGCGUUGUCCGGAUUUAUUGGGCGUAAAGAGCGUGUAGGCGGCCAGGUAGGUCUGGUGUGAAAACUCGAGGCUUAACCUCGAGAUGUCAUCGGAAACCAUCUGGCUAGAGUCCGGAAGAGGAGAGUGGAAUUCCUGGUGUAGCGGUGAAAUGCGCAGAUAUCAGGAAGAACACCAAUGGCGAAAGCAGCUCUCUGGGACGGUACUGACGCUGAUGCGCGAAAGCGUGGGGAGCAAACAGG